rnacentral:rRNA from 1 species
CGGGUGAGUAACGCGUGAGGAACCUGCCUCAAAGAGGGGACAACAGUUGGAAACGACUGCUAAUACCGCAUAAGCCCACGGCUCGGCAUCGAGCAGAGGGAAAAGGAGUGAUCCGCUUUGAGAUGGCCUCGCGUCCGAUUAGCUAGUUGGUGAGGUAACGGCCCACCAAGGCAACGAUCGGUAGCCGGACUGAGAGGUUGAACGGCCACAUUGGGACUGAGACACGGCCCAG